UCAGAUGGACGCGGGACUGCGUCGGGCGCGCACGUACCGCCCCGGGAUUGUGAGUGAUGUGCUAGUGAUGUGCCACGGGAAUGUUCGUUGUAUAAGUGACAGAACAACAGUUUGAUAUGAGAUGGACUGGCGACCAUGGGCCUGGUGGUCGGCCUUCCUCUUGACCAUCACACUGGCUGGCAGCGACUGGCUGAACUGCGCUAAGAUCGCGGAAUGUCAUUGCAAGUGGUCAUCGGGAAAGAAGACCGCGUCAUGCGUCUCGGCUGGAUUAAAACAAUUGCCAAAAUUAGCAUCAGAUAUUCAGGUUUUGGACUUACACGGCAAUCCACUGAGAGUAUUACUCGGAGACGCGUUCGCAAGCAUCGAACUAUUGAACUUGCAACGACUAAAUCUCAGCUCGACGAGUCUGAAAGCAUUACAUUCAAACGCAUUCAGGGAACUUAGAAUAUUAAUAGAAUUAGAUCUGUCUCAGAACGAACUGUUGCAGCUAUCUCCCGAUACGUUCAAAGGUACCGAUCGUUUGAGACUUUUGAUACUAAACGACAACCCUUUGACAAAUCUCGUCUCAGAACAGUUUCCUCCGUUAAAAUAUUUAAAGAAACUUGAGGUAUCUAGAUGCAAGCUGAGGUCGGUGCAUCCGUUCGCUUUCGUUAAUUUGAGAGCAUUAGAAACAGUGAAUAUACAUCAAAACUUAUUAACCAAUCUCCACCAAGAUACAUUUAACCUGCCAGUUUUGAAAACGCUAACAUUAUCAGACAACCCCUGGUACUGUGACUGUAGAUUACGAGAAUUCCACGAAUGGUUUCUGGAUAGCAAUCUUGGAAAUGAAGAUGUCUUUUGCGAUGGUCCAGAUAACAGACAUAAGACAUCAUGGCGCGUAUUAAGAGAGAAGACUUUGUUUGUCCACCAUCAGCAAUGUCUGCGCCAACUGUGAUCAGAACUGAGACAGGAGCAGACAUUUCUUUCGGAUGUUUCGUCCGCGGCGAUCCUACGCCCAUGGUAACAUGGUCGUUCCACCAGAUCCAAGUGCACAACAGUACGAGUACAAGCAGCGAUAUUAUUAUCCAAAACACCAAGUGAGUCGUUUCGAUGAGUAUAGUGAUUUCUUUAACAAAAGUGCGCAGUGGGUCAACGUGACCAUUAAUAACGUGACCAGUGACUUAGCUGGAGAGUGGAGAUGUAGUGCGAAGAGUUUUGCUGGCGAGUCCUCGACAUACUUAACAAUAUUUUUACCCAAAGCCAGGUCAGCGCCUGCUAGAGUUGCUCCGACUAUUCUACUUUCUUCUUGAUAGCUGGUUCUUUAUUUGCUAUGACUGCCGCGGGUUUCUUUCCGCCUGCAUCUGCUGGAAGACGCGCGUCGAAGAAUGCCGCCAAGCAGAAGUUUCACUGACCAAGAGAAGAAGCUUCUCGAUACAUCCUUAGCAGCUAGCUGUGAUAGAACCAGUGGUGAUUUGGGCUCAUCAUACGGAUUUGAAAUGCUGGAUAGGUCUAUGUCUUUGGAAAGCGAAGACACUAGGUGCUUAGAGCCUGUCCAGAUAACAAUAGAAGGUCCUCCAGGGACAUUUCCUCCCCCACCAGCUGAAUUCGCUUUACCAGCACCUUAUGGGAACAUUUUAUAUCAGUUCAAGUUGCUGGGCACAACGAUGAGUACCCAGACUUGCUGGGAGGUGGUGCUACCUUACCUAGACGUAGUAGGACUUGUUUUUUAAAGUCGGCGUACGACAAUAUGGGACCUAGAAUUACUGCAGCCGGUAGCUCGACUUGGUCUCUUCCCGGUGCCAAUGUAGAUAAAAAUUCGGAUAAGAAAGACCCAUUGACUGUACCACUCUCUACAUUUUCUACAGAAUUUACUGCUUUAUAAGGUUAGAUAAUUUUUUGUAAGAAUCUACGUAGAUAUUUUCCGAGUGCUGGUAAUUUAGUUUAAUAAAUUUUAAUACUUUUACGAUUGAAAUUAGUUUGAAGAAUG